UAUGCUCACUUCGGUAGCACAUAAUAUACUAAAAACUGGAAUGCUACAGAGAAGAUUAGCAUGGCCCCUGCGCAAGGAUGGCACGCAAAUUCGUGAAGCAUUCCAUAUUAUA